AUCGUUGACCUAACCAAAUCGACUCACCAUUAACAGUCAUGAACAACUUUCCUAACUGCGUAACUAACAGCUGUUUUCGUCCUUAAACCAACGAUAACGACUGUUAGCCCAUGUUUUGUAAUGGCUGUUAGGAGCGUUGUUAAGAAGUGUUAACGGUGAAUCGAUUUGCCCUGAUCAACGAU
rnacentral:pre_miRNA from 1 species